rnacentral:lncRNA from 1 species
AGCAGGAGGACUGGGUAGGGCUCUGAGGAGUAUCCAAAGAAUCUGAAAUAAAAGGCUUUGAAGAAAAAUGUCAGAGAUGAGGAAAUUAAAGCACAGGGAGGUUAGAAGCUUACAUUUUCCAAGCUGGGCAGCUAAAGCUGUUCCUUCAUUCUCCACAUCUGAUGGGGAGGGGAAGCAAGCACCUGCUUGCACAGUCAAAGCCAGCAUUGCUUCUCCCAAGCCAGCUGGCCAGGGUGCCAUGCCGGGUAUGUACUCCUUCCUCUCUACAGAUCAAAUGCAUCAAGCCUACUGUGAGAGAGGUCUCUGGCAGCCCAGGAUCCAGGGCCCAGCUUUCUGCAAUUCCACAGCUGUGGAAUCUGGCUGCAAAAUAGCCUCCCUGCUGAAGAAUUCAUCAAUUUUGCUCAAAGGAGUGGAAAGAGUAAUUCCCUAUGUUGAGAUCCAGGGUAUCCAGCAUUAA